rnacentral:pre_miRNA from 1 species
AUUAGAAUCACCUGGGAAUCUUUUUAAAAUCCUGAUUUUAAAUCCAGAGGCCCAGAAAUCAGGAUUUUAAAAAGAUUCCCAGGUGAUUCUAAU